GACGAACGCUGGCGGCGUGCUUAACACAUGCAAGUCGAACGAUGAAGCCGGAGCUUGCUCUGGUGAAUUAGUGGCGAACGGGUGAGUAACACGUGAGUAACCUGUCCUUGACGCUGGGAUAGCUGCUAGAAAUGGUAGCUAAUACCGGAUACGACCCUCGGAGGCAUCUCCAGGGGGUGGAAAGAAUCUCGGUCAAGGAUGGACUCGCGGCCAAUCAGCUAGUUGGUGAGGUAACGGAUCAGCAAGGCGACGACGGGUAGCCGGCCGGGGAGGGUGACCAGCCACACUGGGACUGAGACACGGCCCAGACUCCUACGGGAGGCAGCAGUGGGGAAUAUUGCACAAUGGGCGCGAGCCUGAUGCAGCAACGCCGCGUGAGGGAUGACGGCCUUCGGUUUGUAAACCUCUUUUAGUAGGGAAGAAGCGAAAGUGACGGUACCUGCAGAAAAAGCACCGGCUAACUACGUGCCAGCCGCCGCCGUAA
rnacentral:rRNA from 1 species